rnacentral:pre_miRNA from 1 species
GGGGGGAGCGACGGAUCCUGGGCUGUGUCCCCCGGUGCCCUGGGCUCUGGGGCCUGUGCUGCUGGAAUCGCUCUCCCAGGGAGGCACAGCUCCCU